rnacentral:lncRNA from 1 species
GUAGUUUCUGUUAACAUUUGUUGUCAUAUUUUGCUUGAAGAAUUAGAAAUCAAUGGCAUAGCAGGUGGCAGACAAUCCAGGAGAUUCCUUGAGUUGAGGACAACUUCCUUGUCCAGAAUGCCUAGGCAUAGAGGAAGAGGCUCAUCCACACAAGACUCACGGACUUAAAGAGGAGCCAAAAACCCUCAUCAGAAGAGUUAGUUCCCUCUAGCCAUGUUUGCAGUGGUGGGACUCCAGCUCAGAGAGGAUUGUACUGCCUAGCUGCUCCUGGAGGUCUGUGGAAAAGGGACAUGGCCACCACUUCCCAGGAGCUUGGCUGAGGCUGCCACCAUACUCAGAUUAAGCCUUCCACGGCCUUUGGUCAACCAAUGGGAGUCUCAGAAGGCAUGAAAAGUAUUGACCAGUUUUCUAACCUAACAACUUCUCCAGUCCUAGAAGAAAAUGCUCCAGUCCUAGUUCUGGACUCCAGGGAAACUAGGAAAUGAAGUUGUGGCUUGGAGUCAGUCAUUAUUUAUGGCAUUUGGCACGUAAAACCCUGAUGAACCAGAAGCAAAAUGAAAGAAAGGAGAACUGUAAACAAGGUCUUUCAGUGCUAAUUUUAACUCCAGGAUGACAAAUAGAGGUAUAGCAAUACAACAACUACAGCAACUUCAAUCAUUUUCCUAUAUUUAGUACCUCAAAAUUCAAGUUGACAGGUAUGCCUCACCUAAAUUCUGACGCGUGUCAUCUCCUGAUUUAUGAGUGCUUGGUUUUGCAGAACAAAUAAAAUUCUCCCCGUUACUUAAUGGUGCUGAAGAUAUUUCUUCUCUUACCUUUCGUUAUCUUCUUUUUCUGUUGCUACUCAUAUCUGUCACCAGUCAUGUCUUUAAAUCCUUCCAUAGAUAACCUGUUCUAUGACUUUCUCAAGCUUCUAUUUUAUGUCACAGUGUUUUUUCCCUUUGCUUUCUAUAUCAUUGGUGUACAAUCUUCAGAGUAUCAAGCAACUUACAGAGUGGCUUGAAAAGCUGAAUCACAUUGAACUCAAUGUCUGAGAGUCAGUAUUCUUUGCAACUGCUAAUAGCUUUGAGCAAGCCAGUUUAUUUUUCAGUGUUUCACUUUCUUCCCCUGAUUUCUAGUAAUGCAGAUAGAGUUCUCUUUUCUGAGUAAAAUGUAAUCUGGUAGAUAGCAAAUUGGGUUGGUAGCAGGAAAAGGGGAGAGCUUUCAUCAUAAGAAUAAAAUGGACCUAAAGGUUUUAUAAAUUAAAGGCCAAUUAUUCCCAGGAGUGCAUGGGGAGCCUUCCACAGCAAUCACUCUUGAGAAUCUGAAGGCAGAACAGGGCCUCGACCAUCUGUAUUUGGACUUUGUCAGGCCAUUUGUUUGUAACCGGAAUUGUAUUGUUGCUCUGGUUUUCAGUAAAGGGAUGUUCACUGAGGCAUCACAUUGAUAUUUUUGAAGUACGUUCCAUGUUUUCAAAGAAACAAAUUUAUCAGCAAUGAAUUGAAAUGUCUAGCUGUUUCCGUAUGCUGUAGAGAUUUCACAUCAUGCUGCUGUGCAUGUGCAUUCAUUUUUCACCUGCUGGAUGUAAUGGGAACAAGUUCAAUACAUGAAUGAAAGCAUGUUAACAAGGAAGUGAUUUGGCCAAACCAUGCUUCUUCCUCCUAACAGAUAAAAAAAGCCCUGAAAAAACAAAGGCUGAAGGCACAAGCUUGUUUUCAUUAAUCAUAAAUCAGAGACGAUCCCCAAAUAGUAUAGUAGGAGGCAAUGUUGACAGUAGACCUGUGGGAUUUUAACAAACUCGGCUCCUGUUCUUUGUUUUACCUAUAUCUAGGUUAACUACUGUCUGAAAGAGCUUUGUGGGAAAAUCUCAUCUUAUUAUCUUAAAUAAAAAGAGCUGACUAUUUGUGGAAAAACUCAUCAGGCUUUCAUUUUCAAGUCCUGUACAAGGCUGACCCUUUGUCUGAAGUAUUAAAAAUCCCACAGUGGAUGUAUAAAUUAUGGCCUAUAGUAAGGACUUUGGGACAUUCCACUGAGUAUGUUCACAAAAUUUGAGUAAGGCUGUUGUUCCAGAUGAUGCAUGUGGCUCACAAUCCUGAGAGCUGAAAAGCUCCCUGCAAGACCAAGAGGCCAACCAGACUGAUUCUUUGGACUUUGAACCUCCAAUGUUACCUGCUAAUAUGGCACAUAGAGCCAUGACUGAAAGUGCCUGGGUACUAUGAGGAACACCUAUACUUCUGGGACCAACAGACCUCAGUCUGCAUCAUGGUUGACAGGAUUGCAAUAUCUGGUAUAUUUUCUGCAGUAUUUCUCAGCAAAAAGAGCAAGGCUAGAGAUGAAAAUUCGAAAAACCUCUUAAUGGAGUAUUUUAAAGUCUAGGAUCACAGCUUUUGAGGUCCCUAGUACCAAUGAAACAACCAACUAGAUACUGUGGGUCAGAAGGAGAAAAGAGGAAGAGAGGGAAAGGAAACUACAUUGAAGGAAGGUGAUUCUGUUUGGAAAAAAUGUCUCAUACAGUUUGGCAACUCUUACCAUGCUGUUGCCAACUUGCAAGUUCAUAUGAGGUUUACAGCAAGUUACAGGAAGAAUAAAAUGUUAAUCAUGUGCAGAACCUUAGUUGUAUUCUCGCCAUCUAUUUCAACAACAGUAAUAGCAUACAGACUAAGAAGUGAUUACAGAAUGACAUAAGCUUCUUUUCCAUUUGAAUUUGAAAAUGUAUUUCCAUUUAAAGCUUAAUUUUUAUGUGCUUCAUCCAAAAUUAAGAAAACAAGAGGAUGUGAUUUCCAAGCACUAUAUAUAGGCUGGAUCUGGUGUCAAGUUUUUCUAACAGUUAUUAGCGGUGUUAAAAGCAGUGACUUUUAACACAGUAUCUAAAAAAAACUUACCAGCAUUUUAUGGUGGCUUAAAAAAAAUACAAAGGACAACAAGUUGAAACAUGGGAAAGAUCAGUGACAAAGGUACUUAGUCAACAAAAGACUUAACUGCAUGUUGCAGAUUGUAUCUUCUUACAAAAGCCUUUCAUUAAUGAACUAUGUGUUAGAAAGUCUGUUCAGCUGAUUAAACUUUUCUAUAUCUGAAAUUGUUUAUGAGUUAUAAUUACCUCCUUCAAAACCUUCUUUCUUCUUGUAACUGGCUACAGACUUGAUGAAAAGUAUUCAGUCUUUUCCUUUCACACAAUACAAAUGGUGUGCUAAUUUUUGCCCAUGGAAAAACUAUGCUUUCAAAUACAACAAACAUCUUUAUUAUCACCUUAGUAUGCACUGGAGUCAUCCUGAUGUAUUGUAAACACAUUGGGCCCAGGAGUUCAUACAUAUGUAGCAAGUUUAUUUAUGGAAAUUCUUCAGAAGCUUGCUUGGGAUGAGUGGUCCUACUUAUUAGAAAUGACUUCUCCAACUCCUGUCUACAAAUUAAUGAUGUGCUUUGGAGAAAACAAAUUUAUUUCAGAGAAAGUCUGUGGUUGCUUUUCUUUACUUCUUGCCAUUUUUUCUUUGUUUGAUGUAUCAGAUUUCUGGUGCAGUGCUUUCUUUCCUUGUUUAUCAGAGUUAUUAAUUUAUGGUCUACUGGUGCGCAACAGUUCUUUAAGCUUAUAGUAUCUACUUUGUUGUCAAUAAGAAAGAUGAGAAGCAAAAGUGUGAAGGAUUCUCCUAGGGUAAAACAAGAAUGAUAACCAUUUCAAGUGAGAAACUUAAAUGAGUGAAGAAAAGUUGACUGCAGAAAAUUAGGACGAGACUCUCACUCUGUAUGGGUAAGUAACAGUGUUGAGUUUUAUCUUUAAAGCAAUUAUUAUAUUUAGUUUAUAUUCAGCUACUUCACAUUGUGCAACAUUUUUGCAAUAUAAUGCAGUAUUUUUUUAAUUUAUUUGCUUUUUAUCUUGCCAGCUGGCCUACUUCUUUCCUUUAAUUUCCUUCUUCCUCUGCAGUGUUGUAUUAGAUACAGGAAGGAAAAAUUUCAACUUACUCUAGUUGGCUAGUUGGAAAAAGUGAAUAGCAAAAUCUGAAUCCAGGGGGAAAGGGAGGAAAUAAGUUUAUUUUUCUUUUUCCAGGACAGAAAAUGAUAGCAAAAAAUUUUUUUCAGUAAUAAUCACAUAAUAUAGUAAAAAGUUUUCUAAAGUUUGCUAAGAUUUCUGGACAUAUCUAUAACCAUUUAUACAAAUUCACCAUAUUCUCUGCAUGGAAGCUAUACAAGUCUUUUUCUGCUGCACUGACUUACACUAGAAAAGUGAUGCCUGUAGGUUCUAAAAAGAUGAAUUUCACCUGAAAGACAGGAGUAGGAAGACAACUUACAGUUCUGCAGAACAUCUUUUCUUCAGUGCUGCUACAAAAACUAAUAAAUAAAUAAAAACCACCUAAAUCUUGAUGCUCCUUUCCAGUCUCCCAGGGAAGUUUUAAAUUAGGAGAGGUGCUUGAAGAUUUAGUAAGAAUUUAGCAAAAAAAAUACAAGCACUUAGCCAUCUUUUGUGAUGGAAGUUUAUUCUUAAAAGCUUUACUUCAUUCAUAAAGAUGAAUAGGAAGUUCCUAUCUUCUGGUUUAACACAGUUGAGGCCAAUGAAGGGCAUCAUAUAGCAUAUAUGGAAUAUAUACAAGUCCCUUUGAAAGUAAUGCCUCCUAUUUACUUCCAGGGAAAUGACGACACAUACAAAGAACAUAAUAACUACUGUUACUGUACUGAUCAGCUAGAGCUAUUUCCUCUCCUAGAAGGUUGCUUACAUCACUAAGAAACACUGAAAAUAUAUUUUGAAAUAAGUAAUCCUUAGGGAGCCAGAGAAGUGGUAAAGGACAAUUUGUAUGGGUCUCUGAAAUGUUGACUUCCACGUAAGUUUUACGUCAACUGUGGGAGGUCACGUUGGGAAAGCAGAAUCUCAGAAGUAAGACAGAUCAGAACAUUGUUUCCUUAGUGGAAGCUUGUUUAUAUUUCUUUCACAGAUUUCCAGGGAAAAAUAAGAACUUGAAUUCGUACAGGCUAGCUGUCAAUUUCAUAAAGGCAAAAAUAUUGAUGUUAGAAAGUUACCAUGGAAGUCCUUCCUGAUAUACACUUUAAUAUGCAAAUAUUCUCAUUGCACAUUACAAUAAAAUAGUUUGUUACCAUUAUCUAAAGCAUUAUAUAUUAUACAUAAAUAUAUUUUUAUACAUCCACUAAAUGUGGAAUCACUCAGCUUCUGUAAUUUAUCCUGUUAAAAGAUUUGCUAGUUAUAUAGCAUUCAUGAAUGUACUUACAUUUUAUAAAUGUGGGAAACUAUUUGCCUCUGUUUCUUAACCUCUACUGAAUCUGUAGAGCCAUGAUGUUAUGUACAAAGUAAUAUCUUUAGACUUCCCAAGGCUUUAACCAGCAGAGUUGUCAAAUUAAACUGGGUCAUUUUGUAAAUGUAUCUUUAAUAAGUACAUAUGUCUGUCAUGCUUCCCUACUCAGUCUUAUAAAUCAGACUGUAUCCAGCUGUCAGAUGCUUUCAACCCAGUUGUCCUAGUCUGUCAAGUAAAAAUUAUAGCAUCUAGGUUCAUAUCUAUCUCUGAAAAUAUUUAUUUAUACCAGUGACACGUCAAGGACACACAAUGCUUUUUUUUUAUUAUUUUCCCAGCAACAAAACCAUUAACAGCUGGCUCAAGUCCCUGCAAGGAGGGCAGUGUUAAUAUAUACAGAGAAUUUAUAGUGAAGGAAGACACGGGUCAAACAAAAUAAUUGCUGGAUUGUAUUUUUAAGAAACUCUUACUAAAUUCCAGAUGAAGAGCAUUCAGAUUUAUCUUACUCAGUAUGCAAUAGUAAUUUUAUGCCUUUUAUCAUCCUCACCCUCUGCUCAUCAAUAGAUAAGCCUGCACUCCUGUGUUGCAGGAAUCUUGAGGUUGCCUACAGAUUUGGCCCCUCUUCAGUACCUAAUAGAUAACUAUUGCAGUUCUAAUGAGAAAUUAGGCACAUCAUAAACCACUGCAGUAACUUUAAAGUAGUAAACAAGGUGUGGAGAAUUUGAAGCUGAAGCUCAUCCUAGUUCCAUUGGCUCUUCCUAGGCAGAAAAUAUGAUAUCAAUAGCAGAGUGAUUAUGAACAAAUACUUCAGCUUUUACUCUAGACAUACAAAAGGUAGGAUGAUAAAAAGGUGUAUAGUAAACACAUAUAUGGGUAUUGGACCAGAGUCAUUAUCACAUUACAGAGAAAUAAUGAAAUAAAGAGCUUACCCAUAUCCUGAGCUCACAGAAGAGCUCCAAGAGGAGUGAUCUUCACAUAGAAAUCCUUCCUCCUUGGGAGUCAGCCCCUAAAUGGGGUCUAGGAAGGGUGGAGCCAGGCUCCACCCCUUCCGGUCACUGGGGUGAAAUUGCAUUCACCUGUGCCCCUGUGGCUGACUCAGCGCUCGCCUCAGGUGGUCAAUCAAAGGUUCAGGCUGUGAUUCAACAGUUCCCAUACAAGAGGGAAGGAUAGCUGCUCCAGCAGUCAGAAGUUGUGUGUCCUUCAAAGAGCCAAGGACCAAUGGGACACAUCAGCGAGGACCUGAGUGUUGAGAGUUUCUCUAGAAAUCUGAUACAGUUUGAGUUGACCACUGUUUAAACAAAGUUCGUAACUCUGCUUUCUAUGGGAAAACUCUCUAAUGGAAUUGUUUUCUAUAGAAAAGUGAUACUUUCUCAAAAAUAAUGUCUGUUUCCUCCAUGCCAGGUGUGGAAUUUUGGUGAAUUCAUUGCACAUGGGAAAACAAAAUGGGAAUAGCCCAGGGAGGAAACAUUUUACCUAGCAAUCAUGAAAAGGAGUUAAUCACUUUGGAAUCCUCUCAGGUGGAUGACAAUGAAUUAAAAUUAUCACAAAAUGAAAUCUUUCAUCAGUGGCAUUUAAAUUGUAAUCUUCUUCUCUAUCAAGUUGUCUUGUUUAAGACAGGAUAAAAUAACACCUAUUACAAUCAUUUUAAUAUUAUUAUUCACAAUGAACUUUUGGAGAAUUAAAAUACAACAGAUGAAGUAAAAAUAAAAUAAAAUAAAACCAUCCUGAAAGUAAAUCACUUUUAAAACCGGACCCCUAAAACCAUAUAAAAUGGGUUAGUAUGGGUUCCCAACUAUUUUUUACUAGUAUAUACAUAUACUAGUUUAUAAAUAUAUACUACUUUUAUACUGAUACAGCUGUUUGCUUUUCCUAAAAACCUUGGACUAAUUCAAGCACAACCACUUCAUUUAAAGCAGGAUGUGAUGAAGAGCAGUCCCAUGAAAUACAAUAGGUUGUGAUGGAUGUUCAUCAUGAUCCUUUCUGCCCUUGAGAGCGGUGUAUAACUGAAAUAUCCAUGAACAGUCCACAGAGUUUUGGAAACCAACUAAUUAAGUAACUGCAGUAGUGGUAGGCUUACCAUUUAGCAAAAGAUGAAAGCUAGAGGCAUGCUGAAAAGAAACAGUGCAACAGCUUUAAUUUCUUAAUAACUGGUUAGAGAAAAUAACUGGUCAGAGGAUAAAAAAAAAUGCUCUGAAUUUCAAUCUGUUGAAACUCAGUGUAGAAAGCAGAAAGAGAAAGCAACAACAUUUAAGUUUUGACAAAUUAAGUUUAGAGAGGGAGAGAUGAGAUUAUAUAACAGUACAGUUUCAUCUUGAAAUCUGAAUACUAUGGGAGCACUUAAUACUUUAAAUUGCACAGAUCUAACUCUAUUUCAUUUAUUGACAUGUAUGGGAUCUUUCUUCACAAUUAUUUCACGAAGGAACCCAUCCAAAAGUGGACUGAAGUAGAGUCCAAUGUAGAUAGAGCCAUAUGAGAAAGCAAUUUACUUGUGGAAUUUUACUGUUUUUCUUGGAGUGAUAGCACUCCUUCUUCUCUGGUUUUAAUUCUGAUUUAUUCUUAUUUGUUGUGCUCUCGAAGAUUCAUAGUAAUAAGUAUUUAAAGUGUAUUACAUUAAUUUGCACUUUUGAAUGUUUUUCAUAAUGUUCAAUAUAAGCAUUUUUCCCCAAAUAAACCACUGACACUUUUAUAAGAAAUUAUUGGUGAUUUAAUUGCAGGUGUUAGUUACAGCAAAUUCCCCUUUAACCUUUUGUAGGAAAGGGUGCAGUUCUUGCAUACACAUAAUGAAUUAAUCAUGAGCUUGUGUCUUUGAACAAAAAUUGUAUUUGAAAGAAUUUAUUGUGAAAGAAGUUGUAUCAUACAUAAUGAAGUGUUAUAAAAGCCCUGAAUGAUUUCAAGUGACUGAUUCCACAUUAGGCACUGGGAAAGCUGUGCCUGGAACAGCUAGAAAUAAGUACAGAGGGCCUGAUGUAAAGCACAUUGAAAUCAAUGGAUUUUUUCCAUUGUGUAGAGCAGAUAUAAAGUUUUUCAAUUUCAUGGGAUGGAAAAAAAUUAUUUUAUGGAACAAACACUCACAGAGAAACACAACUCACUUCUUAAAUACAUGUACUUUCUUCUUGAUGUUUUUAAUGGGAAAUGUGUGCAGUGUGAGGUGAGUACAUCAAAUUACCCUGAUUUUUGAAGGGGAUUAGUUAAUUUUGCAGGGAAAUCAAUAUCCAAUAACAGGAACUGAUCAAUAGUGUUUGAGUUUGGUUGAGCAUGCCAAUGAGGCAGUGUGAGAUAUGAGAUUUCAUUGGUUUUCUAAUUCUUUAAAAAUUGAGAGUUGAAGGAGCUGAGACUGUCUCAGGAUCAAGCAUUGAAUUUAUGUCAUAUUUUUUGAAAUCUGGAAAUGAGACAGUGAAGUGUUACUAUAUAUUUAAUGUACGUUCUUUCAGCUGCUGAUGCAGCAUUCUGAACAGAAAAAAAAAAGUGAAAUUAAUGGUUGCAAGCUGAAAGAGGCUUUAGCAGUGAGAAAGGUCUCAAACAGAUUCAUGGUUGUUUUCUAAAAUAUCCACCAGCUUUUGUGUCUUGGGAAACAGCUGCUGCCUCUUGCUUCAGGGACUGUGAGCCAGAUCAUGAAGAAGAACCAUUUUAAGAACAAUUUUGAUCUGCUAUUUCAGAAAUAACACCAACACUUAAUAUUUACUUCCUAGGUGGAGGAUCGCUGCUGCAGAUUUGAAGAGACCAGCCAGAAGAGAAGUAAGAGAAUGGGAAAGAAGACUUGUGCUGAUGUAUCUGAAGGAUGCUGGCUUGCCUUCGGGCUUGGUCUGGGGAGAUAAUCUUCACCACAACUCCCUUGUAUAAAACUAUUUCUUCUGGCUUUCUACUGACUGAAGGGGGAUGGGAAACACUUUGUUCUGUCUUUUUUGUUUGUUUUUUGUUGUUUUCUUUUGACACAGGAUUUUCUUGUGUAGUCUGUAGCAAAAAUCCCAUAUUUCCUCUCAGGAUCGCCAGAUCUUGCAAGGAUAUGGGGGAUUCCUGAUAUGGAAUCAGAAUUUGUCCUCUUUUAAAUUACUUGGUAACGGGAUAUUAUGGUACAAUUCUAUAACUGGCAUGUAUAAAAAAAUCCUGAAAUUGAAAUGACAUAUAAAACUCCUCCUUUAGCAUCAUACUAAAUACUGCCAUUGAUGCUGAAUACCAUUUAUAAUCUUCUUCCAAGUAAACAUGGCUUUUUUGUAACAAUUAUUAAAAUUGAUGGAAAAUGUAGAAGUUCUCAUUUGUGCAUUUCUUGUUGGUAAAAGCUUACAAAAUUGGAAUGCCUAUGAAAAAAAAAUCUGUGCUAAAUAGACUUUAUGAUCUCCUGUUUGAUUUUUUGGCAUGGGUAUUUGUGUUACAUUGUACAAUCACCUUGUAAAGUUCAUUUUUUCCUAACUACAUUAUAGUGCUAUUAUAAGUGCUCUUGUUAAAAUGACACCUUUUUAUGAUAGCACUGUCUGCUAAUAUAGUUACAGUAAGAACUCAUCAACCUUUCCAUUAUAUGUAAACCUUUGUGUUCAAGGACUUAAAACUCUGCUAUAAACACUCCAGGCUAACAUUUGGCUUAUGAAGUCUCAUCCAAAGAGCAAAGAAAUUUAUUAAAAAAUUCUUUCAGGUUUUAGAAAAUAUUUUUAAAAAGCAAAAGCAGAAAUACCGGUUGUGAUCUUAGGGAUGCUUAAAAUUUUGAGAAGGUGGACAGAGAGUAAGGUGCUGGGACAGGAGGGUCAUGUGGGACUGCCUGCUUCCUCUUGGUGCUGCCUGAUUCUGCUCUGUCAGUAUGAGUUCAAGGGUUCCUUUGCAUAGUUUUGUAACCACCAGUUUUCCAGCACUCUCUUCCCAAGCUGCAGGGAAUGAUUCUUAAAUGACUGCUUGAAGACCCUUCAAAGAGUGACUGCCAUUCCUUGCAUGGUGCCUAGGAGGAUUUUCCAAAGCUUUUGUUUUCUUGUGGUGACUGCAGAAGCCCAGGUAUUUGGAGAAUAAAGUGGUCCAGGUGGCUUCCAUCAUCAGGCUGACCUUGAGCAAAUUGCAGCUCCUUUAGUCUAGGAACCAGGAAAGCUUAAUGAUGAUGAAGCUGCCUGCAUUUGACAAUGCUGCAUGUGACCUUUAUUGGCUAAAAUAUCUGUAUAUGUGUCUGGAGGACAGAAAAAGAAUGGCUGUUCUUGGCCACUCUUACAGCCAGUAAUUGCAUGAGCUGAGGGGAGACCAAAAGCAGAUAGAGCCAUGGAUGGUAACUCCUGGUAAAAGCGGGUGGGCUCUAAGACAUAGUCAAUUUUUUAAGGAUGUUUUGUAGGACCUGGCAGAUGCAAACAGUUUUUGCACGUACUUCUCAGCACUGGAAAGAAAGCGUGUGGGAGGACUUCUGUUGCUGGUCAGAAAAAUCUGCUCUAGUGGGAAGUGUUUUAUUAUGCUCAAAGCUUUAUCUUGAAAGCUCCAGGGGUUAUAAAGUGAAAAGCAAAGCAAAACAAACAAAAAAAGACCCUUGACUUUUUCACAAUUAGCUGUGAAAUUUGUGGCCCCUUGAAGGCCUCCCUUUUGCCUGUACCUGCCGAGCUAUUCCCAUGGGAACCCAGGCACCACCUCAAAGCCUGUCUGGGCCUCUAGUCUCCACUUCACUUGUCCAGGAAAGUGGAAAGCUGGUAUUAAAGACACUUGCUGACUGGUAUUAGUCUUUACGCUCUCUGCUUCAUUCUCCUCAACUGUUUCUUGAGAUCUUAGUAUUUCUUUUUCUCCCCAAGGCCCUCUGUGCUUCCACACUGCUUCUUCCUUCAUUAUUCCCCAUUUGCUCGUGCUUCUGGUAUUCCUUCUCUUCUGCUUUUCUAACUUCCUCGUCUGGUGUCCAGUGUUACCAGAACUUCUUCGGUAAAAACUGCAAAGUGCUUCUUGAGGAUUGCGAAGAAACUGCAUAGCAGCUGUUAGGGAAAAAUGGCACCUUUUUGUGCCAUUUUAAUUUUGUUCAAAGCUAUGUUUUAUUUGAUACUUAAAAAAAAAAAAAAAAAGACUUUCAUGAAAGAUAAGGCAGUUCUGCUCUCAAAACUUGCUGGUCUAUGCACCUUUAGGAUCAGUCAAGCCCAAAUGGAGUUCUGUUACAUACGCAUUAGGCUUAUUAUGGAUAUUAUUUGAGUUUAUCACAGAGUGAGACAGAGAGUUAUUCAUGGGACCACCCUGCUUAAGCUAUUUCUUGUCUUAAAGAAAUCAAACCAAAGUAUUCCCACAAGUAUAGAAUGCACUCUGCUGCUUUGACUUUAGAAAAAGACCACCUCUGUUAAGCAGUGAUUUAUUUUUUUUUGUUGGUCUCUUGGGUAACCACUGAUGGCAGAUUUUCCUGUGUUUUCUAUGGUGGAAGAAGUAUAUUUUGAAAUAUUUUGAUUAUGUCUAAUGUAUAUGUAAGAAAAUGUGAUAUAUGGUAAAGUGAUGUAUAGCAAAAAAUAAUAAUAAUAAAUUGAUAUGCAUAUUGAAUGUAUCAAGAAGAGGAAAUGUAGAAGAUAUUUUCUUAAGCAUAAGUUCUACUUUAUUUGGGAGAGAAAUAUUGGAGGGGACGGGAACACUUAGGAAAAUGUAUAGAAAUUUUUUAAUGAUGUGUUGAAGCAAUUUUUCUGAUAAAUAUUUGGAAAAGAUCCAAAAAAAAAAAAAAUUCUGGUAGCAAUAUAUAAUAUUUCUUAUUUUUUUAAUAUGGUUAAUUUAUAUUCAGACUAUAUUAGAAACACAUUUUAUACAAAUUACUUCUAUUUUGUAUGCUCUAAGCACACUAUUGAAAAUCAGUCAAUAUUUUAAUGUUCUUACUGAUGUGCAUAAAUACCCUUAUCCUUUAUCUGGAUCUGCAAAUAAAGAGGAAAAGUGUG